UACAGAGGGUGCAAGCGUUAAUCGGAUUUACUGGGCGUAAAGCGUGUGUAGGUGGUCAGGCAAGUCGGUUGUGAAAUCCCCGAGCUCAACUCGGGAACUGCUUCCGAUACUUCUUGACUCGAAUUCGGUAGAGGGAGGCGGAACUCCAGGUGUAGCGGUGAAAUGCGUAGAUAUCUGGAAGAACACCAAUGGCGAAGGCAACCUCCUGGGCCUGAAUUGACACUGAGACACGAAAGCGUGGGGAUCAAACAGG
rnacentral:rRNA from 1 species